rnacentral:rRNA from 1 species
UACGAAGGGGGCUAGCGUUGUUCGGAAUUACUGGGCGUAAAGGGCUCGUAGGCGGCCAACUAAGUCGGACGUGAAAUCCCCAGGCUCAACCUGGGAACUGCGUCCGAUACUGGAUGGCUUGAAUCCGGGAGAGGGAUGCAGAAUUCCAGGUGUAGCGGUGAAAUGCGUAGAUAUCUGGAGGAAUACCGGUGGCGAAGGCGGCAUCCUGGACCGGCAUUGACGCUGAGGAGCGAAAGCCAGGGGAGCAA